rnacentral:rRNA from 1 species
AGAGGGUGAUCGGCCACACUGGAACUGAGACACGGUCCAGACUCCUACGGGAGGCAGCAGUGGGGAAUAUUGCACAAUGGGCGAAAGCCUGAUGCAGCAACGCCGCGUGAGCGAUGAAGGCCUUCGGGUCGUAAAGCUCUGUCCUAAGGGAAGAAUAAAUGACGGUACCUUAGGAGGAAGCCCCGGCUAACUACGUGCCAGCAGCCGCGGUAAUACGUAGGGGGCGAGCGUUAUCCGGAAUCAUUGGGCGUAAAGGGUGCGUAGGCGGUUAUGCAAGUUAGGGGUGAAAGGCUACGGCUCAACCGUAGUAAGCCUUUAAAACUGCAUAACUUGAGUGCAGGAGAGGAGAGUGGAAUUCCUAGUGUAGCGGUGAAAUGCGUAGAUAUUAGGAGGAACACCAGUGGCGAAGGCGACUCUCUGGACUGUAACUGACGCUGAGGCACGAAAUCGUGGGGAGCGAACAGGAUUAGAUACCCUGGUAGUCCACGCCGUAAACGAUGAGUGCUAGGUGUCGGGGGUCGAACCUCGGUGCCGCAGCUAACGCAUUAAGCACUCCGCCUGGGGAGUACGAUCGCAAGAUUGAAACUCAAAGGAAUUGACGGGGACCCGCACAAGCAGCGGAGCAUGUGGUUUAAUUCGAAGCUACGCGAAGAACCUUACCAAAACUUGACAUCCUCUGCAUUACCCUUAAUCGGGGAAAUCCCUUCGGGGACAGAGUGACAGGUGGUGCAUGGUCGUCGUCAGCUCGUGUCGUGAGAUGUUGGGUUAAGUCCCGCAACGAGCGCAACCCUUGUCUUUAGUUGCCAGCACAUAAUGGUGGGCACUCUAGAGAGACUGCCGGGGACAACUCGGAGGAAGGUGGGGAUGACGUCAAAUCAUCAUGCCCCUUAUGUUUUGGGCUACACACGUGCUACAAUGGCUGGUACAACGAGAAGCGAAAGAGUAAUCUGAAGCAAAUCUUAAAAGCCAGUCUCAGUUCGGAUUGUGGGCUGAAACUCGCCCACAUGAAGCUGGAGUUGCUAGUAAUCGUGAAUCAGAAUGUCGCGGUGAAUGCGUUCCCGGGUCUUGUACACACCGCCCGUCACACCAUGGAAGUUGGGGGCACCCGAAGUCGGCUAUCUAACCGCAAGGAGGAAGCUGCCGAAGGUGAAAUCAAUGACUAGGGUGAAGUCGGAACAAGGUAGCCGUAUCGAGGGUGCGGCUG